CCUACGGGUGGCAGCAGUGGGGAAUAUUGGACAAUGGGGGGAACCCUGAUCCAGCCAUGCCGCGUGUGUGAAGAAGGCCCUCGGGUUGUAAAGCACUUUCAGUGAGGAAGAACGCCUGGUGGUUAAUACCCAUCAGGAAAGACAUCACUCACAGAAGAAGCACCGGCUAACUCCGUGCCAGCAGCCGCGGUAAUACGGAGGGUGCGAGCGUUAAUCGGAAUUACUGGGCGUAAAGCGCGCGCAGGUGGCUUGAUAAGCCGGUUGUGAAAGCCCCGGGCUCAACCUGGGAACGGCAUCCGGAACUGUCAAGCUAGAGUGCAGGAGAGGAAGGUAGAAUUCCCGGUGUAGCGGUGAAAUGCGUAGAGAUCGGGAGGAAUACCAGUGGCGAAGGCGGCCUUCUGGACUGACACUGACACUGAGGUGCGAAAGCGUGGGUAGCAAACAGAAUUAGAUACCCCUGUAGUC
rnacentral:rRNA from 1 species